rnacentral:rRNA from 1 species
AUACACGGCCAUAUUGUCAUGAAAAUGCCUGAACUCAUCUCAUCCCUGAAGCUAAGUAGUGUUGGGCCUGGUUAGCACAUAGAUUGGAGACCACCUGUAAUACCAGGUGCCACAUU